CCAGGUUCAGCAUGUUCCACAUAAUCACGAGGGACUGAGGAGCUCCAUCCUCAGCCUGCUCGUCUACACCUACGGCCAAUCCCACAAUGCAGCUGCCAUCCACCCCAUCUCGCCUGCACCCUCAACACCAGCAUAGCCAACCACAUCAACAAAGUGGACAAGUUUGACUCGGUGAAGGCCAUCCAGGUGAGGAGUCGGCAGUGACAGUGGCGGCCAGGUGUGCACAGAAGGCAGGUGGAUGUUGGGACUUUCAGCGUAUCUCUGUGGAGGUGGCGCUGGUGGCGGAGUUGAGGACAGAGCUUCCUUCUUUCUGAAAUAAAAACAUUUAUGUGGAAGAGAAAAUGCAGAACAUAUAAGGCAGAGCUUAGAUGGCCACGGGGUGAGAGGAAUAUACUUUUUCUGCACCAUUACCUGUGGGCCAGGGGCUGCCAGCACCAACCUAAACGUCCAAUCAAAUUGCUGCUUCUGGAAGAAUCAGCACCCUGGAAGCCAUCCCUGGGAAGUGAUAAUCCAUUCAUAGAUCCACGGGCAAUGUCUACAGCACAACGAGGUGGAAAAUGUUUCGUAAUUGCUGAGCGAGAGAAAGAUGAUCGGUGCACUGAGAGAACGAAAGCUCCCUCGGGUGGGAGACUGCGUCUUCUUGUUAUAGAUGGGCCCUCUGUUGUCUGCAUCAGCAAGUGUCAAAUUGCAAAGCCUGCAGAUCGGGAUAUUGAGACCCUCGGUUAG
rnacentral:lncRNA from 1 species